AUGGGUAUGCAGUCUAUGAUGGUUGUCCGGUGCACGAACCUUGUCAACCCUGUAUGCGAUUGGCUUGGUAAGAUCUACGACCCCGCCUCCAGAAAAUUCGUGAUUCCGGGACGCGGAAGACUACCGCUGAAUGAGGAAUCCGUGUACUGCACGUUGGGUGUGCCCCGUGGACAUAUCAAAGUCCCGUACGAGGUCAACAACAAGAUCGAGGAAGCGCUGUUCCCCCGUUUGUUUCCUGGGUUGGAAUCCAUGCCGAACACGACUGCAGUGGCAAAUUCGUUGGAGGCCAUGACGACUCACGGAGAUGUUUUCAAGAUGAAGCUACUCAUGUACCUCAUCUCAACCGUUUUCGCGCCGACCACUUCUCUUCGCCCAAGCAACAAAUGCUUCCCCAUCCUGGCGAAACUGAAAGAUGUGAAGAACAUGAACUGGUGUAAGUUCAUUGCCGACUUCCUGCAUGAUGCAUUUGCAAGCAAGGUGUACCAGAAGGGUUGUCGACUGCAUUUAAUGCUCAUGUACGUCGACUGCCUUGAUCUGUCCACCGUGGACUUCACUGGGACAGGAGGUCUGCCGCCUGCGCACAAGUUUGCUGUUUCUGCGUGGACUAUCGAUGCUGUCAAGGCUGUGCUUGCUGCAGACAGAGUAACUGAUAGCAAAUAUGGUAAACUGCAGCUGAUGGCCAAGCAUUCUAUAGACUACAGCGUGUUUGGGGGGCCUCAAAACUUUGAAAAGUGGAUGGACGUGCACUCAGCUCCGUCUUGUCCUUCAGAGGCGAGGGCACCUGUUGAGCAGCUAAUAGGGCAGUUUGCAUCUGGAAUGACUGGCUUGCUCGGGAAGUUGGUUGAGGGGUGGACGUCCCUCAGUGGCUCUGACGGCGACGCGGUUGCGAGGCAAUUCACUUCAUUCGUCCUAGAACGUACACACCGGCCAACCGGUUGCCGUGGCCGGUAUGACUACAACAGUUCCCAGGAGCCCGCUGACACACAAGAUGAACUAGGUGGAGACGCUGGUCUCAGCAAGGAUGACGAUGAUGUCAUGGAUAAUGUGCAAGAGGACACCGAUGAUGAUGAACACGCUGAAGUUCGCGCAGGUGGUAACAAGGGCAAGGAUGCAAUAGAUGUCCCCCAACCGGAUAAAGUCAAACAACACACGGCUGUGAGAGGCGAAGGGGUUUUGCCAUCAAAGAGGGGGAUGGCUCCAGAGGGUGCUGGGCAAGUUUCUGCUGGCAAGAGGUCUAGGACCGACCCUGUAGCUGCCAGGAAGAGCGAGCCGACAGCUGGUGGACGAGCAAUUACGAAGAAACAGGCGCCAACGCCAACCCGUGUUUCUGCUCGGUUGAACAAAGGUGCCCCCAUUGCCGGUGAUACCACUUCCACCAGGACAUCUCCUCGCACGACGACAACCAACACCGGGGAUCCUGUCGUGUUGCCAGACCUGAGGAAGGCAGUCAGGAAGGUGAAGAAGACAACUACGCGUGGGUCCAAGCAUAUCAGUAAGGACCCGCUCGAACGCAUGCAUUCAAAGUUGUCAACAGGGGGCAACUCAGAUGUACAGGAGGCACCAGUUGACAAUACUGCUGCUGCACCGUUGACCGCUCCCACCAACUCUGAUGCAAGUGGCAGACCAUCUCACCGGCUGCAGAUGUGCAGCCUACAACAACAGGCAUCCGUACAUCGGGGAGUGACGAGUCGGUAUCUGCCAGAACAGCUGAAAUACUGCCAACCCUUGUGGCAAUGA
rnacentral:rRNA from 1 species